rnacentral:tRNA from 1 species
ACAUUGGUGGUUUGGUGGUAGAAUUUUUGCCUUUCAUGUGGGAGACCUGGGUUUGAUUCCCAGCCAAUGCA